rnacentral:rRNA from 1 species
UACGUAGGGUGCAAGCGUUAAUCGGAAUUACUGGGCGUAAAGCGUGCGCAGGCGGUUAUGCAAGACAGAUGUGAAAUCCCCGGGCUCAACCUGGGAACUGCAUUUGUGACUGCAUAGCUAGAGUACGGUAGAGGGGGAUGGAAUUCCGCGUGUAGCAGUGAAAUGCGUAGAUAUGCGGAGGAACACCGAUGGCGAAGGCAAUCCCCUGGACCUGUACUGACGCUCAUGCACGAAAGCGUGGGGAGCAAACAG